GACGAACCGUGCGAACGUUAUUCGGAAUCACUGGGCUUAAAGCGCGUGUAGGCGGGGCGGCACGUCGGUCGCUGAAAUCCCCCGGCUCAACCGGGGAAGGGGCGCCGAUACGACCGGCCUGGAGGGACGUAGGGGGGGCUGGAACUUCCGGUGGAGCGGUGAAAUGCGUUGAGAUCGGAAGGAACGCCCGUGGCGAAAGCGAGCCCCUGGACGUCUACUGACGCUGAGACGCGAAAGCCAGGGGAGCGAACGGG
rnacentral:rRNA from 1 species